UGACAAUGACCAAAGAAAGAGGCUUUUUAGCAAGCUGGUGCCCCCAGGAACAAGUGCUAAGCCACCCAUCUAUUGGAGGGUUCUUAACACACAGUGGGUGGAACUCAACACUUGAAAGCAUUUGCGGAGGGGUGCCAAUGAUUUGUUUGCCUCACUCGGCGGAGCAACAAUUGAAUUGCCGAUACUGCUGCUUAGAAUGGGGCAUAGGCAUGGAGAUGAGCAGUGAUGUGAAGAGAGAUGAAGUAGAGAUGCUUGUGAGAGUGUUAAUGGAAGGAGAGAAGGG
rnacentral:misc_RNA from 1 species